GUAGGUGGCAAGCGUUGUCCGGAAUUAUUGGGCGUAAAGCGCGCGCAGGUGGGUUCUUUAAGUCUGAUGUGAAAGCCCCCGGGCUCAACCGGGGAGGGUCAUUGGAAACUGGGGAACUUGAGUGCAGGAGAGGAAAGUGGAAUUCCACGUGUAGCGGUGAAAUGCGUAGAUAUGUGUAGGAACACCAGUGGCGAAGGCGACUUUCUGGCCUGUAACUGACACUGAGGCGCGAAAGCGUGGGGAGCAAACAGGAUUAGAUACCCUGGUAGUCCACGCCGUAAACGAUGAGUGCUAAGUGUUGGGGGGUUUCCGCCCCUCAGUGCUGCAGCUAACGCAUUAAGCACUCCGCCUGGGGAGUACGGUCGCAAGACUG
rnacentral:rRNA from 1 species